rnacentral:lncRNA from 1 species
CUGUUACUGAGACAUGGUGCAAUGAGAAAAAUGACUGGGACAUAGCAAUACCAGGGUACUCUUUAUAUAGGAAAGAUAGGGAAGGCAAGAAAGGGGGAGGGGUGGCCUUGUAUGUGAAGGAUAGCAUAAAAUCUAGCCUAAUAAAAGUUAGUGAGGCAAACAUAGAGACCAUUUGGGCUACGUUAGAAUUUGGUAAUCACACAGUAACUCGUGUAGGUGUGAUUUAUAGGCCCCCAGGACAAAUUGAAGAGUUAGAUAAUCUACUAGUUGAGGAAAUAGCUAAAAUGACAAUGAAGGGGGAAGUUAUCAUCAUGGGUGACUUUAAUCUUCCUGAUGUAAAUUGGAAAACAAAAUUAGCUACUUGUGC